CACCGCGGUUAAACGAGGGGCCCUAGUUAAUAGUCAACGGCGUAAAGGGUGGUUAAGGGGAGCAAACAAUAAAGCCAAAUGGCCCUUUGGCUGUCAUACGCUUCUAGGUGUCCGAGGCCCAACAUACGAAAGUAGCUUUAGGAAAGCCCACCUGACCCCACGAAAGCUGAGAAA
rnacentral:rRNA from 1 species